rnacentral:tRNA from 1 species
GCCCUGGUAGUGCAGAAACUGAAGCCGCAAAGCUGGUUUCCGCACAACGGUCUAACAUUGGCGGCUGGCUUAUCGCGCCAGACCCGGGUUCAAAAGGCGUUCGGCAACGCGGUGCCGAGGCCAAGAAAUUCCCGGCCAGGGCG